GAGCCCAACAGUAAAAAAAAAACGCCUCACUCGUUCUCCUUAUACAGAGAAGCUCAAAAUGAGUUCGCAAAAUAAGCCUUCGCUAUAUUGAACACGCCUCUCUCCAGUUCACUUCUUCUCUGCGACUCCGUCUUUGUAACUCCACCUCUCCUGCGUUCAACAUCGACUCAUCUUCUUCGAAUCUUGACGCAAGUAAGUUUUUUCUGGUCUUUCCCUUUGGAUACCUCUCUUAUUCCUUCUUCCAUCUCUUUGAUUUUUGCAAAUCUCCUCAACAAUUUUGACUGUGCUAUGAGAAUCUCUCCUUCCUUUUCUCUGUUAUUUUCUUCUCCUCUUCUCUAAUUUUCGUAGAAUCUGUAGGGACAUAUAUAUACAUGAUGUUAAUUGGCCCCUCAGUGUCACCGGUUCUCUAAUCGGUGUCUCUGAUAGUGUGGGUGAUGGUGGGCUCAUUAUCGCAUAACACAUACAAGUUGUGGGGCAUUGGUAAUGGGCAAUGGGCAAUGGGCAUUGGAAUGUAUGGGUGUUGGUUUCAUUUCUGUUGGGAGGAAGGAAGAAGCAAACUCAGCAGAGCAGGAUGGAAAUUUAAGGACAUUGAUAAUUCAGAACCAUUCCCGAAACUAAUAGUGAACCAGUAAAAGUAGUCGUUGCUGAUAACCUCCCGAUAUAGGUUUUGCUUGCUUUUGCACAUUCUGAUAUAGUCAGGUAUUUUAUUUCCAAUUUGUUCUUACGAAACAAAUCAGAGGUGGUGAUCUUGGGGAUCUUAGCUAGGACUUGAACAGUAUCACACUAACAAAGAUAUCUGAACUUGGUUGUACAACCAGAAUUUCAAGAUAUGACUUUUGUUUUAUUUUGUUUUUUUGUCAAUAUUUGUAAUGCAGUCUUGCAUCUAUCAAACACAACCUCGUUUGAAUGUAUUCAUUUUCUAAAUCAUCCCUACUAAUCAAUAGUUCGGCAAGGAACAAAUUG